GCGCUCGUAGCUCAGCUGGAUAGAGCAUCAGACUACGAAUCUGAGGGCCGGGAGUUCGAAUCUCUCCGAGCGCGCCA
rnacentral:tRNA from 1 species